rnacentral:lncRNA from 1 species
GUUGUUUGAAUGUGAUAUUCGUGAUCCUGGUGGAAAGAGCUUUCGAUCCAUAUAAAAUUUGCUCGAUCCUGGUUGUUUUAGGUUGUUUGAAUGUGAUAUUCGUGAUCCUGGUUUUUGUGGACCUGUGGGCUCAAAUGAGAGAGGCCCAAGUCCAAAAAAAAAUUGUUAUAUUUUAUUUAUUUAUUUAUUUAUUUUAUUUAUUUUAUUU